GUUCCAAUGAGAAUGAAGGCUGAGACAAGCGGUGCCUGAGCCCGUGCCUGUCUUCAGAUCUUCACAGCACAGUUCCUGGGAAGGUGGAGCCACCAGCCUCUCCUUGACAAGCAAAGUGGAUCAGCAAAGGCUGCAGUCACCAGCAUCUUUUCCAACCUUAAUGAACUGUAUCCUCAAAAGAACACUAUCAGACUGGUAAGACAAGCAUUAUUGUCCCACUUCACAGAUGAAGAGCUUGGGGGCCCUGUGGAUGUGUAGGAGAGUCGGCCUUCCUUUUUAUAGGCCUUUUGCUGAGCUCAGAGGACAGAGCAGAAGACAAAGCCGAAAGCAGCCCUAAGCAGACACUAUCCCAGCCCAAGGAGCUAUGCAGACAGCUCCUGCCUAGAGGAGAAACAAUU
rnacentral:lncRNA from 10 species